GAUUUCUCUGCGGGGACUGGCGGCGG
rnacentral:piRNA from 1 species